CUAUUUGACAGUGAGAGAGAGAGAGAGAGAGAGAGAGAGAGAGAAGGAGAGGGACUGACUGAGGAGGGGGGCAAGGACAAGUGUGUGUGUGUGUGUGUGUGUGUGUGUGUGCAUGUGUGUGUGUGUGUGUGUGUGUGUGUGUGUGUGUGUGUACUGAUGCAGUGAGAGCUGUGAGGAUAAAGCAGAGAGCAGUGAAGGGAUGCAGAGGAGAAUGGAGGGAGCCAAAUAAUCCCUCUGCCUGUGUACUCUUUCACUCUUUCUUUCCUUUCAUUUCUUUCUCUGUCCUGUUAGCAGGCGGACAGUCCUGAAGAUGACUCACUGUGGAAUUUUUUCCAACUCAAAUUCUUUUCAAUCUCUCUCUCUCUCUCUCUCUCUCUCUCUCUCUCUCUCUCUCUCUCUCUCUCUCUCUUUCAUUUAAAAAAAUAAGCCAGUAAUGCUACAGGGUGUCCUAGAGGGCCCGAAGAAUUUCUGUAGAGAGGCAUUUGAGAGAGAGUGAAAAAAAAGAAGAAGAAUGGGACAGGGAAAAGAGGCUGAAAGAAGAGAAGCACACAGGAGGAAAGGAAUGUGGUUCUGAGGACGGAAGAGCACCUGCUGCCCUUCACAACCUAUUUCCUGCGCUAAAGAAAUGAUCCAGAGGAAAAAGGCCACGGAGGAAAAGAAAAAGACUGCACAGAGAAUCUCUUUUCCAACCCUGACAUGAGGUACAGUACUUCUAAAUGAAGUCAAUCCUUGUCUGUGAUGGCACAUGGAAGUCAGUCUUGGUGUCUUAUCCUGUCUGUCUGUGUCACACAUGAUCGCACCCAGAAUAUGUGGAAAUGCAGGUACGUGUGCUUUUUAAUCUUGCUUCCUAUAUUUGGCUGCAGCCUACCAUCUACCUUUGUAAUGAAGGAUAAUUAUAUAAAAAUAUACAUACUGUAACUAAACUUCCUAGAAUAUAACAGCUGUUAAUGUCAGACAAGCAGUAAAGCUCAACAGUGUACAUGCAGUUGUAUUGGCUUUCUAUCAUAUGUAUGGACCAAAUGUGCUAAAU
ensembl:lncRNA